rnacentral:rRNA from 1 species
UACGAAGGGGGCUAGCGUUGCUCGGAAUGACUGGGCGUAAAGGGCGCGUAGGCGGCUUGAUCAGUCAGGCGUGAAAUUCCUGGGCUCAACCUGGGGACUGCGCUUGAUACAGUUGGGCUAGAGUGGGGAAGAGGGUUGUGGAAUUCCCAGUGUAGAGGUGAAAUUCGUAGAUAUUGGGAAGAACACCGGUGGCGAAGGCGGCAACCUGGUCCUUGACUGACGCUGAGGCGCGAAAGCGUGGGGAGCAAACAG